CUACUGUUAUGAGCAGAAGUCCACGUGCGAUAAAUCCUGCUGAAGACUCUUGAGUUACAUGCAGGAAGAAGAUGCUGCACGAUGUGUUUACAAUUUUCUAGUGAGGCUGAAUCCACUGUCAGAGAACUGCUUCAUUCCAUCCUCCCCCAGCUGAGACUCAAGAGACACCAGAAAAUGGACAAAUUUGCCGUAACUGUGAUGAAGGAGAAAGAAGAUAUGAAGAAGAAAGAAGAUAAAACCCAUCUCUCCAUCUGAAUUAGGUAGCUGGGCAGCAGGGUCUUGGUUGCCAAAUAUGUGGAAAGGCCCAUGCCAGGCAGAUGAAUACUGCGUAACCUCCAUAUCUGGAAGCUGAAAGGGAAUGCCAUAGCCAUCCCUGCAGAGGAAGACCCAACCACCUAAGGUGCAACGGCAGCUCUCUGCAGAGCAUCUCCCCUGUACUCAUUGCACUGCAAUGCUGAGUAUAUGCGAGAAGGCUGGUAUUUCUACAGUGCCACAAGAAACCUCAAUAAGUUCAGAGCAAUGAGAAGCUUUGCUUCCACAUCACAAAAAGUCAUGAUGAUUCAGACCUCCGAGAAAGAAGAAGGUAUUAAAGCGGGGUCUCUGCUCCUGGGCAAGGCCAGCAUGGAUGUUUGUACAAGACCCAGCAGACCAACCUGAGGAAGAGUUAUUAAAAACUGAUGUCCUGGAGAAAUAUCUGGAGAGCUUACUCUUCCUCAGAAAAAGAAAGGAAACGGCAGAGGCAAAGCGACCCAGAUGGCCCAU